rnacentral:rRNA from 1 species
AACGAACGCUGGCGGCAUGCCUAACACAUGCAAGUCGAACGAGACCUUCGGGUCUAGUGGCGCACGGGUGCGUUACGCGUGGGAACCUGCCCUUAGGUUCGGAAUAACUCCCCGAAAGGGGUGCUAAUACCGGAUAAUGUCUUCGGACCAAAGAUUUAUCGCCUUUGGAUGGGCCCGCGUUGGAUUAGCUAGUUGGUAGGGUAAAAGCCUACCAAGGCGACGAUCCAUAGCUGGUCUGAGGGGAUGAUCAGCCACACUGGGACUGAGACACGGCCCAGACUCCUACGGGAGGCAGCAGUGGGGAAUAUUGGACAAUGGGCGAAAGCCUGAUCCAGCAAUGCCGCGUGAGUGAUGAAGGCCUUAGGGUUGUAAAGCUCUUUUACCCGGGAUGAUAAUGACAGUACCGGGAGAAUAAGCUCCGGCUAACUCCGUG